GCUCGGGUGGCGGAAUUGGCAGACGCGCUAGGUUGAGGGCCUAGUGCCCGCAAGGGCGUGCGGGUUCGAAUCCCGCCCCGAGUACCA
rnacentral:tRNA from 1 species